rnacentral:rRNA from 1 species
CCUACGUGGUGCAGCAGUCGAGAAUCAUUCACAAUGGGGGAAACCCUGAUGCAGCAACGCCGCGUGAGCGAUGAAGGCCUUCGGGUCGUAAAGCUCUGUCCACAAGGAAGUUAAUGACGGUACUUGAGGAGGAAGCCCCGGCUAACUACGUGCCGGCAGCCGCGGUAAUACGUAGGGGGCUAGCGUUAUCCGGAAUUACUGGGCGUAAAGGGUGCGUAGGUGGUUUAUUAAGUCAGAGGGGAAAGGCUACGGCUCAACCGUAGUAAGCCAUUGAUACUGGGAAACUUGAGUGCAGUAGAGGAGAGUGGAAUUCGUAGUGUAGCGGUGAAAUGCGUAGAUAUUAGGAGGAACACCAGUUGCGAAGGCGGCUCUCUGAACUGUAACUGACACUGAGGCACGAAAGCGUGGGGAGCAAACAGGAUUAGAUACCCCUGUAGUC